rnacentral:misc_RNA from 1 species
GACGAAUUUAAAAAUUAAGUUCGAGCUUGUUUAAUCAUACAAACAAAUUGAACCAAAUCAAAUUUUUUUAACGUUAAAUCUUUGAGUAGAUCACAAGCAAUUCAGCUUAUUUACAGCUUUAAUUUUGAAACGCGUAUCCUUCUUCCAAAAAGCAAAGAGUAGAAGUAACUUUCCAAUAGCAAAAUAAUUAGCUCCAACGCCAGUUUCUCGUUCAUAUUACUUCGCCAAUGACGAAUUAGUACUUUGGAUACUUUUUUUUUUCCCUCGUAAAGGAAAAGAGCACGCGUUAUUGACAUACUCUCCACUUAGAACUAGCUUUAGAUGUGUUGAUUAAG